GGUUGUGGAGGAUAUAGAGUACCUCAAGUUUGAGAAGGGUCCUUGGCUGGAGCAAGAUGACGUCACUUUCCACCAUAUGUGAAUGCUGGUGGAGGACAAACAAAGAGUAGCCAACAUGACCUGCAUCCCCAGAUAUCUUCCAGAAGUCACAGUCGGUGCUCAUGAGUUUGAUGCUGCCUACUAUGCUUUCAAAUCGCUCCCAGGAAAGAAAUACGCUGAAGGCUAUAAUGAAGACGUCGGGGACAAAGGCAUCUGGCUGAAGUGAGAAUCGCUGUUGUCGCUGGAGGGAAGGACAUCUGAAAGACCGUUUCCUUGUGGUAUUUCAGCCGUUCGCCCAUGUCUUGUGGGGAAAGAUAUAUUCUGCUCUUAUGUAGCUGAAGAUAUCAUUGUACAUUGCUAUUGAAACCUUUAUUGUAUAUGUUAAA